rnacentral:rRNA from 1 species
UACGAAGGGUGCUAGCGUUGUUCGGAAUCACUGGGCGUAAAGCGCGCGUAGGCGGCUUGCCAAGUCAGGGGUGAAAUCCCACAGCUUAACUGUGGAACUGCCUUUGAAACUGGUAGGCUUGAGUACUGGAGGGGAGUGGGGAAUUCCUAAUGUAGAGGUGAAAUUCGUAGAUAUUAGGAGGAACACCGGUGGCGAAGGCGCCACUCUGGACAGUAACUGACGCUGAGGCGCGAAAGCGUGGGGAUCAAACAGG